rnacentral:tRNA from 1 species
UGAAUAUAGUUUAUUAAAAUCCUAGUCUGUGGAUCUAGGGAUGAGGAUUAAUUAUCCUCUGUUCACCG